UACGUAGGGGGCAAGCGUUGUCCGGAUUUAUUGGGCGUAAAGAGCUCGUAGGCGGCUCGUUGCGUCAACCGUGAAAACCCGGGGCUUAACUUCGGGCUUGCGGUUGAUACGGGCGGGCUGGAGUUCGGUAGGGGAGACUGGAAUUCCUGGUGUAGCGGUGAAAUGCGUAGAUAUUGGGAGGAACACCAGUGGCGAAGGCGGCUCACUGGACCGGAACUGACGCUGAGGUGCGAAAGCGUGGGGAGCAAACAGG
rnacentral:rRNA from 1 species